CUUUGGCAGCCACAUGAGCAGUCUGACCAUGCAGAGGACACGAUGCUGUAAAAAAGCCCAAAUUUAUCCAAUGUGGUGAAACAGAGGGGCCUCAAGACCACAUUAAGAGGGAGAAGCCUGGACAGCUCCUGGCUGCAUCAGCCUCCCACCUUUCCAGCUCCAGACACCAUCUGACCGAAAAUCUAUGAGAGACUCUGUGCCAGAACCACCUAGAUGAGCUCUGCCCCAGAUCCUGACCCACAGAUACCAGGAAGGAUCUAUAGAAUUUUCCUGUGCUUUGUCACACCAUUCAAUGUUGGGUGAGUGAAGGACAGGUAACUUUUUAGUUCAAAGCUUUUCAGAAGGACCUCUGAUUCAUGUGUUUUCAAUAUUCAAGAAAUCUUACCUAAGGAGCCUCAUCUGUACCUGGACUUGACUAAGAAGACAAGAACCUGGACUUCAAGCUAAUGCAGGAAUGAAAUGAGACUCAAGGGCUUUAAGGGCAAGAAUAAGCCUAUUUUACAAGUCUGAGAGCUGUAACUGUUGUGGUCAAAGGAUGGAGAGAGGCAGAUUAUUCUCCAAAAAUAACCACAAUAACAUCUCCCAUCCCACCAUGUUCUUCUCAUAAUGUAACUGACAUUCCCGCCAGCAAGCAUGGGAUUCACAUGCUUUCACUUUGAAUUUUUGACUACAGCAUAAGUGAAGCUACAUGACUUAGUGACUGGGGCAUGAAAGCAUUCAGCUAUCGUGACAGCAAAGUAACUGCCUUGAAGCUACCAUAACGUGAAGCCUGAAUUUGCCUAUUUAGAUGGACCUCAUGGACAAGCCCUAAGAUUACAUGAGAAGAAAGACAUGCUGGACUGGCUCUCAGUUGCUUCAGCUGCCCACCAUCCCAACCCCAGUCAUUUUCUGACUGCAACUGCAUAAGAGAACCUGAGUCAGAAGUAAAGAACCACACCUUAUACAAAUUGCUGAUCUAUAAAAAACAUGAGAUAAUAGUUGUAGUUUGAAGCUACGGUGGAUGGAAAUGAUCAUACAACGAGAGGUAAUAAUAAUGAAAAGUAUGAAUUAUUACUGAAGGAAUAGAUAUUCUGAUCAAACUUUACAAAGAAAAACAAUUUUUUUUUAAAAAAACAUAGUCUUUAGGUGAAAUCAUUAAACAAAACCAAAAAGAGGUCAGAUUAUAACCUCGAGGUAUUAAAUAAAAGCAAAUUAAAAAAUGCUCAGAUUCAGUCACCAAACUACCCAAGUCUCCAAAAAGGACCUGAAUCUCAGAGAAGCCUAGAGGAUAUUUCUUGGACAGAGUUAGCUCUGCACUUCUUCACAACAAACCAAUAUUCUGGGACCUAUUUUCAAUGUUGGCCAGGGGAUACAUGUGACUCCUAACUCACCUGGCUCUCUGCCAAAGCCCACAUGCCGAGGAGACCUUAGAGCCUACAGCUGCCCCAACACCCUCUAGGACACCUUAAAUAACAAUCUUGAAGCUUCCUCGCUGUGCAUUCUACUGGUUUUUCAGAGUUAGUGAAACAUCUUUUUUGAUGUUUUAUGGGAUCUUUUUGAAUCAGAGCACACAACUAAGAAAACAGAAUGCAUCAAACUCUAAAACAUCUGUUCCAAAUCUUUUGUAGUUCAUUUCUCUUAGCUGCUCUGUCAAUAGGUAAAAAUAAAUGUGUGUUUGGGGAAGCAUGAUGUGGAAG